UACGUAGGGGGCUAGCGUUGUCCGGAAUCAUUGGGCGUAAAGCGCGCGUAGGCGGCCCGGUAAGUCCGCUCUGAAAGUCCAGGGCUCAACCCUGGAAAGCGGGUGGAUACUGCCGGGCUAGAAUCCGGAAGAGGCGAGUGGAAUUCCUGGUGUAGCGGUGAAAUGCGCAGAUAUCAGGAGGAACACCGGUGGCGAAGGCGGAUCUCUGGGCCUUACCUGACGCUGAGACGCGAAAGCGUGGGGAGCGAACAGG
rnacentral:rRNA from 1 species